GCGGGGGUUGCCGAGAUUGGCCAAAGGCGCAGGACUUAAGAUCCUGUUUCAUAGGAAUACGGGGGUUCGAAUCCCCUCCCCCGCA
rnacentral:tRNA from 1 species